AUUGAACGCUGGCGGCAUGCUUUACACAUGCAAGUCGAACGGUAACAGGGUGCUUGCACCGCUGACGAGUGGCGAACGGGUGAGUAAUGCGUCGGAACGUGCCGAGUAGUGGGGGAUAACGCAGCGAAAGUUGUGCUAAUACCGCAUACGUACUGAGGUAGAAAGUGGGGGACCUUCGGGCCUCACGCUAUUCGAGCGGCCGACGUCUGAUUAGCUAGUAGGUGAGGUAAAGGCUCACCUAGGCGACGAUCAGUAGCGGGUCUGAGAGGAUGAUCCACCACACUGGGACUGAGACACGGCCCAGACUCCUACGAGAGGCAGCAGUGGGGAAUUUUGGACAAUGGGCGAAAGCCUGAUCCAGCCAUGCCGCGUGUCUGAAGAAGGCCUUCGGGUUGUAAAGGACUUUUGUCAGGGAGGAAAUCCCUAGUGCUAAUAACACUGGGGGAUGACAGUACCUGAAGAAUAAGCACCGGCUAACUACGUGCCAGCAGCCGCAGUAA
rnacentral:rRNA from 1 species